rnacentral:rRNA from 1 species
CCUACGGGAGGCAGCAGUGAGGAAUAUUGGUCAAUGGACGAGAGUCUGAACCAGCCAAGUAGCGUGAAGGAUGACUGCCCUAUGGGUUGUAAACUUCUUUUAUAUGGGAAUAAAAUGUUCCACGUGUGGGAUUUUGUAUGUACCAUAUGAAUAAGGAUCGGCUAACUCCGUGCCAGCAGCCGCGGUAAUACGGAGGAUCCGAGCGUUAUCCGGAUUUAUUGGGUUUAAAGGGAGCGUAGGUGGAUUGUUAAGUCAGUUGUGAAAGUUUGCGGCUCAACCGUAAAAUUGCAGUUGAAACUGGCAGUCUUGAGUACAGUAGAGGUGGGCGGAAUUCGUGGUGUAGCGGUGAAAUGCUUAGAUAUCACGAAGAACUCCGAGUGCGAAGGCAGUUCACUGAACUGCAACUGACACUGAGGCUCGAAAGUGUGGGUAUCAAACAGGAUUAGAUACCCCAGUAGUC